rnacentral:tRNA from 1 species
UCCCUGGUGGCUUAGCUGGUAAAGAACCCGCCUACAAUGUGGGAGACCUGGGUUCAAUUCCUGGGUUGGGAA